CAGUCGCCGCGGUAAUACGAAGGGUGCAAGCGUUAAUCGGAAUCACUGGGCGUAAAGCGCACGUAGGCGGAUAUUUAAGUCAGGGGUGAAAUCCCGCAGCUCAACUGCGGAACUGCCUUUGAUACUGGGUAUCUUGAGUAUGGAAGAGGUUAGUGGAAUUGCGAGUGUAGAGGUGAAAUUCGUAGAUAUAGGAAGGAACACCAGUGGCGAAGGCGACUACCUGGACUGAUACUGACACUGAGGUGCGAAAGCGUGGGGAGCAAACAGGAUUAGAUACCCGAGUAGUCCCUGUCUCUUAUAC
rnacentral:rRNA from 1 species